UCAAACACUUUUCCCUCAUUCAUCAAACACGUUUCUGAUUCAGUGACCUUUCUUCUUCCUCUCCUCUCGCGCACAGCUCCGUCUCGCCGUUUCUUCCUCGAAAAAUCCAAAAGUCAUCUCCGUUAAUCAACUCUCUGCAUUCUUAAACCCUAAACCUUCCCCCUUUCUCCCAAAAUCUUCUCUGCUUCUUUGCAUUGUAAACCCUAAAUCAAUUUCCCUAAAUCUUCUCGGUUUGACGAAGAAGUACAGAUCCACGGCACUUCCUCGUCCCAUUGUUGUCACUUUUCCACUCAAUAACACCAAUGUCUCAAAACUAUCUCUAGCUUUUCCACUCUUCCCUCUUUCAGAUUCAAAGUCUCUGCCAUGGUUUCCACCGUCACAACCACAAAAUAGUCCCCGUCGUCAUUGUCAGCGGCGAAAGAGUUGGAAAGGCCUGUUUGGAUUUGGAGAGUCUCCUAUUGAUGGUAAGACUGAUACCAAUCCUGAAGGAUUGACAGCUGCUUAUGGCAAGUGGUCUUUGGCUGUUUCUGAAAGAUUAGUGGCUGUUUCUAUUUAUAUUGAUGCAGGUAUGGUAUGGUGUGAGAGUGCAGUUGGUUUUGUUGAAUGGCAUUUAGUUUGGGAAUUGAUUGAGUUGCAUUUGUUUAGUCUUUGUUUCAAAAGCUGUUUUAGAUUAUUCUUUUGCCCUUUUUUAAGUUCAUUGAGCAGGAGUUAAUAUUUGUAGGUGGGAAGAUGAUCUUUACAAACGCGUGGAAUAUGAUUCUGAUGGAAUUGUUAAAACUCAUAUCAUCAAGUCUCCUUUUGUUCAGAUUCCUCUUGGAGUUACGGAGGACAGACUCAUUGGGUCAGUUGAUGUUGAGGAGUCUGUGAAGACAGGCACGACUGUUUUCCAACCAGGCCUACUUGCUGAAGCUCAUAGAGGUGUUUUAUAUGUUGAUGAAAUUAAUAUUUUGGACGAGGGUAUCAGUAAUUUGCUCCUUAAUGUACUGACUGAAGGAGUAAAUAUUAUUGAAAGAGAGGGAAUCAGCUUUAGGCACCCAUGCAGGCCCCUUCUGAUUGCUACCUAUAAUCCUGACGAGGGUUCUGUUCGGGAACAUAUGCUAGACCGUAUUGUAAUUAAUUUGAGAUCAUCUCGGCUAGAGAGUAUCUCAUGGAAGUUACUAUUAGCAAAGAACAAUUAAAAUACCUGGUUAUCGAGGCUUUACGAGGUGGUGUCCAGGUAUGUAACAAGUUUUUUUGUUUCAAAAGAAGUUUUUUAUAUGGUAAAUAUGAUGUACACUACAGAUAUCCAUUGAUUGUUA